ACUGUGUGGAUUUUAACUGAAACUAAUCGAGCAGCAUCAGAAACAGAAGCCUGGGAGAUCCUGGAAAGUGCCUGUAGACUCAUGGGAAAUGGUGGCGAGUGUCAGCGCAUUCACUUUAUCUGCACCAAGUCUGAUGACGUGGGUGGUUGUUCAGCAGCUGAUGUUCAUGGUCUCAUACUUG